UUUAGAGUUGUGUCGCAGUGCGGGCACAGCUGACCUCCUGACCAUCCAGGCCCACCUGGACAUAAUCCACACAUUGACAGAAAAAUCUUUACACAAAGAGAGUCAUGGUGAUGAAUUGGAGGCUGCAGAUUCUAACUUUGUGGAGCUAGUCCAAACACUGCUGGGAGACCCUUCUGAGAGGGAGCAUUUCUUCCAGGAGGUGUUCUCAGUCCACUAUGGCCCUCGGUAUGACACAGCACUGCAGACACUGGUGUGGGAGUUCCUCUCCAGACUGGAAGAGCUGCUGCCUGUAC